rnacentral:rRNA from 1 species
UCCCGUUGAUCCUGCGGGAGGCUGCUGCUAUUGGGAUUCGUUAACCAUGCAAGUCAGGUAGCAAUACCGGCGAAAGGCGCAGUAACACACAGUUAACUUGCCCUUAGGUCAAGCAUAACUACGGGAAACUGUGGAUAAUACUUGAUAAGAGGUUAUGUCUGGAAUGACUUUCCUCUGAAACUCGAGCCUAAGGAUAGGACAGUGUCGGAUUAGGCUGUUGGUGGGGUAAUGGCCCACCAAACCGAAGAUCCGUACGGGCCAUGAGAGUGGUUGCCCGGCGAGGGACACUGAGAAACUGGUCCCAGCCCUACGGGGUGCAGCAGGUACGAAUUCUCUACAAUGCACGAAAGUGUGAUAGGGGGAUCCCAAGUGCUUAUACAUUGUAUAGGCUUUCGCCAAGUGUAAAAAGCUUGGCGAAUAAGUGGUGGGUAAGACUGGUGCCAGCCGCCGCGGUAAUACCAGCGCCACGAGUGGCAGCCGCGAUUAUUGGGCCUAAAGCGUCCGUAGCCGGUUUGGUAAAUCUUCUGUGAAAUUGUUGAGCCUAACUCAGCAGCGUGCAGGAGACACUGCCAAACUUGAGACCGGUAGGGGUUAGAAGUAUUCUGGGGGGAACGGUAAAAUGUAAUAACCCCUGGAGGACUACCUAUAGCGAAGGCAUCUAACCAGGACGGGUCUGACGGUGAGGGACGAAAGCUAGGGGAGCGAAGGGGAUUAGAUACCCCCGUAGUCCUAGCUGUAAACGCUGUGAGCUAGGUGUUGCAUAUUCCUCGAGAAUAUGCAGUGUCGAAACGAAGGUGCUAAGCUCACCGCCUGGGAAGUACGGCCGCAAGACUGAAACUUUAAGGAAUUGGCGGGGGCGCACAACAAGGGGUGCAGCGUGCGGUUUAAUCUAACUCAACGCAGAGCACCUUACUAGAAGCGACGGCAGGAUGAAGGUCAGUCUGAAGGGCUUACCUGACGAGCCGAGAGGUGGUGCAUGGCCGUCGUCAGCUCGUGCCGUGAGGUGUCCUCUUAAGUGAGGCAACGAGCGAGACCUGCACCUACAAUUGCUAGCGACCUUUGGGAUCGAGCACAUUGUAGGGACUGCCCGGGAAACUGGGAGGAAGGAGCAGGCAACGGUAGGUCUGUAUGCCCCGAAUCUUCUAGGCUACACGCGCGCAACAAUGGUAGGGACAAUGGGAUGCAACUCCGAAAGGAGAAGCUAAACCUCUAAACCCUAUCUCAGUCCGGAUUGAGGCUUGCAACUCAGCCUCAUGACGAUGGAAUCCCUAGUAAUCAGAGUUCAUCAUACUCUGGUGAAUAUGUCCCUGCGCCUUGCACACACCGCCCGUCAAGCCAACCGAGCAGGGUUUAGAUGAGACUUAGCUUUUUAGUUACGUCGAAUCUAGACUCAGUGAGGUGGGCUAAGUCGUCACAAGGUA